rnacentral:rRNA from 1 species
GAUGAACGCUGGCGGCGUGCCUAAUACAUGCAAGUCGAGCGAACAGACGAGGAGCUUGCUCCUCUGACGUUAGCGGCGGACGGGUGAGUAACACGUGGCUAACCUACCUAUAAGACUGGGAUAACUUCGGGAAACCGGAGCUAAUACCGGAUAAUAUAUUGAACCGCAUGGUUCUAUAGUGAAAGACGGGUUUGCUGUCACUUCUAGAUGGAUCCGCGCCGUAUUAGCUAGUUGGUAAGGUAACGGCUUACCAAGGCAACGAUGCGUAGCCGACCUGAGAGAGUGAUAGGCGACAUUGGAGGUGAGCCGCGGUCCAGGCGCCUACGAGAGGCAGCAGUAGGGAAUGUGCGGCAAUAGGCGAAAGCAUGACGCAGCAGCGCCGAGUGAGUGAUGAAGGUCCUCGGAGCGUAAAACUCGGUUAUUAGGGAAGAACAAAUGUGUGAGGGACAAUGCACGUCGUGACGGUACCUGAUCAGAAAGCAACGGCUAACUACGUG